GGCCUUGUGAUGUGAGAAAUAGAUAUUUGCUACUCUUGAUGGGUAAUUUAUCUACCCACCUGAUGAUUUUCUAUCCACCAAGAUCUCUGAGGCC